rnacentral:lncRNA from 1 species
CGUCAGCGUCCUGCGCUCUACAGAUGGAGUCUAGAAAGGGAACCUAUGCAUCCAGUUACUGGCAGGUGGAUCUUUUCAUGUGUUGCUUCACUUAACACACCAAUGCUGCUUUAAAAGAAUUUCUGCACAAGGUGUGUUUGUGUGUGUGUGUGAGAGAGAGAGAGAGAGAUAGAGUGACACCUACACAGUGCCGUUGCCUUUAGGCAGUCCCAGGGCGUUGACUGUGGGGCUGCUGGGUGUGGAGGGUGUAGCGGGUAACACAGAGGACAGGAAGCUGGAGGCGGGAGACGGAGGAACGGAGGAGAACGGCGAGGACAUAUCCGAGUGUGCCGGGGACAUAGAGACGGGCGGAGGGGGAGGAGGUGGUGGAGGAGGGAAGUCCUGGCUGGACGGAGAGGGCAGGUUGCCGGGGCUGAGGAAGGGCGGCGGCGGAGGUGGGAAGGAUGGGGAGCUGGGAGACUCCAUGCUGCCGGCCUUGGUGAAGGGGGGCGCGGCGGUCCUGCCAAAGGGCUUGUGCGAGGUCGGUGGGGACAGAGGGGAGGAAAGGUUGGACCCGGAGGAGCCGGACGACUGGGUGACGAAGCCCGACCCGCCCGGGCUCUGAGCGGCGAUGAACUGCUUGGGUCGGGCGUAGUUGAAGGUGGUGGCGUGCAUGGCUGCGCUGCUCUCCAGCUCCUGGAAGGAGGGGGGAGGGGGGAGAGGUGGAGACGGUGGAGCAGGUGGAGGUGCUUCCUGAAGCGGAGGUUGAGGCGGAGGCGGGACGUCCUGGUUCUGCUGCUGCAAGACGGCUGCUUCCUGCUGCUCCAACAGAAUCUGAUCCUGCAGUUGCUUCAGCUGGAACGCGUUCCUGUGAGGAAGAAGAAGAGGAGGAGGAAGAAGCACCGUGAGCUGCAGUCGGAGCACAGCUGGCAGGAAGGUUGGCCUGCAGAUGUGAGCGCAAUCAGUGAAGCCUUAAAAUGCCAAUCAAGAGUUCUGCCGAGCGCGGCGGAGAAACAGCCAGCAUGAAGAUGUUACUUCUAAAUGACAUGAGCACAAAGCCCGAGCGUAGUGGACAGGUGGUGAACCGUCUGAAGCGUUUUCCUCUGAAGGCGAUGGCCUGUCGGGCCAAAGGUUGGCGCUCAGAGGAAGUAAGUGGACGACCUCUGAGAGCAAAGUCACCGCAUGAGCAGUUCACCGUCCUCCGGCCUUUUAACAAAGACUUAUAAACAAGCCAAACUGUUGACAGUGUAUCGUGUACAGCACUAUAUUAAUACAUAUUUAACCACGCUAAAGGAGAAUGUUAUACUCGAUUAACAUCAUCUUG